rnacentral:sRNA from 1 species
GGGGUGGGGGUCUUAUCUCCACUGCUGGGCAGGACUUGUGUGAGGGACAGAAGUUUCUAGCUGGAAUGGUGACCCAGUAUCUCCAGUGCGUUCAUCCAAGAUAUCCAGAAACUGGACAUAGUCCUCAAAUAAGAAUAAUAUUCUUUGAAACUGCUUUUCAGAAUGAUGGUUCUUAGGAACUGCCAUAUGUUGUGGAUUCUUUGGAUAAAGAGAUUAUCAGAUUUAUCUGAAAAGAGUUUUAAGAAGACAUUUCUUCAUACUUAGAUUGAAAGGUAUAAUUUGAAAAAAAAAAACUAAAAUCUUAAGAAUUUCAACAUUUACAUGAUAGAAAGUUUUAAUGUAUAAAAAGUCCGACGUUUAGAUUUUGAUCCCGUUUAUUUUUUUAAAUUUGUCCAUUUCAUGCACAGUUUGAGAAUAAAUUUUCUUCUCAUUUUGUAAACAUUUUUUUUAAAUUCAAAAUAUGUUAUCACUAUAUCAUGAUAUAGAUAUAUCUACUAUAUCAAAAGAUGGUAGAGAUAUUUUGUGAAAAUUAUCAAGCACAACUCACUUUCUUAAUGUGUACACUGCAUUCCCUUUCUAAAUUAUAUCCAGUGAAAACUUGUACAAACCCAUUUUGUAUAUGUACCUGACAUACUUUACCUAUGGACAGACAUUCCCUUCUAACUUUGUGAGAUGUGUUGACAGAUCCUGCAAUAAUGUACAAGACCAUUCCUAUUGAUGUUGGUUGUCAAUGUUUUAAAACUAAUCAAAAAAGUUUGUUUUGGUUUUUUUUUUGGUUUUUUCUAUUAAAAUCUAUAAUGGUUAGUUUUCUUUUUCAUUGACAAGGGGCAGUGAAAUCAACCUUACAGUUUACAGAUAGGAACAAUAAUCAUCUUAAAAGUUUGAUGUUGACUAUUGCAUUUAUUCUAAUGAACUUUUAAAAAGUCAUUUUUAAGACACAUAAACAUGUACAUUUUAAAAUCUUUGGCUGAAAUUGGAGACUAUGAAAACCAGCAUAUCAUUUACAUUGAAAAAAAUGUACAUUUAACAAUUUUACUUAUAUCCAGAAGCAUUUUCAUGAAUUGUAUUGUUUUUAAUUGUAUUAUGAAUUCUGGUGUCAUAUUGUAACUUUUGUAUUAAUGUACAUACACCCAGUAAUUAAAUUUAACACCUACAAUAUGACAGUGAACUGAUGUGAUUACACUAACUUGUCUUUCAGAGUGCAAUAUUGUGAUGUCAUAAUAAAGUGAAAGUGGGCUUUCUUUUCC